GACGAACGCUGGCGGCGUGCUUAACACAUGCAAGUCGAACGGAAAGGCCCUGCUUUUGUGGGGUGCUCGAGUGGCGAACGGGGGAGGAACACGUGAGUAACCUGCCCUUGACUUUGGGAGAGCUUCAGGAAACUGGGGCUAAUACCGGAUAGGAGCUCCUGCUGCAUGGUGGGGGUUGGAAAGUUUCGGCGGUUGGGGAUGGACUCGCGGGUUAUCAGCUUGUUGGUGGGGUAGUGGCUUACCAAGUCUUUGACGGAUAGCCGGCCUGAGAGGGUGACCGGGGACCAGGGUCCUGAGGGACGGAGCAGUCGGCAAUGUGAGACAGUAGGCGGGAGUCUGGUCCAGCGAGACCGAGUGUGAGAAGAAAGCCUUCGGGGUGUGAUGACCUUUUGUUGGGAGAGAAAAGCAUUCGCUUAAGACGACGCGGUUGUGACGGUACCGGGUGAAGAAGCACCGGCUAACUUCGUG
rnacentral:rRNA from 1 species